rnacentral:rRNA from 1 species
GACGAACGCUGGCGGCGUGCUUAACACAUGCAAGUCGAACGGAAAGGCCCUGCUUUUGUGGGGUGCUCGAGUGGCGAACGGGUGAGUAACACGUGAGUAACCUGCCCUUGACUUUGGGAUAACUUCAGGAAACUGGGGCUAAUACCGGCUAGGAGCUCCUGCUGCAUGGUGGGGGUUGGAAAGUUUCGGCGGUUGGGGAUGGACUCGCGGCUUAUCAGCUUGUUGGUGGGGUAGUGGCUUACCAAGGCUUUGACGGGUAGCCGGCCUGAGAGGGGGACCGGCCACAUUGGGACUGAGAUACGGCCCAGACUCCUACGGGAGGCAGCAGUGGGGAAUAUUGCACAAUGGGCGGAAGCCUGAUGCAGCAACGCCGCGUGCGGGAUGACGGCCUUCGGGUUGUAAACCGCUUUCGCCUGUGACGAAGCGUGAGUGACGGUAAUGGGUAAAGAAGCACCGGCUAACUACGUG